rnacentral:misc_RNA from 1 species
GAUGAAGAACGUAGCGAAAUGCGAUAAGUAGUGUGAAUUGCAGAAUUCAGUGAAUCAUCGAAUCUUUGAACGCACAUUGCGCCCGGCAGUAAUCUGCCGGGCAUGCCUGUCCGAGCGUCAUUUCUGCCCUCGAGCGAGUCCAGCAUCUAGGUGCUGGGCCCGCCCGGCGUUGGGGCACUACGGGAAGCCCUGUGCUGUCCCCCGUAGGCCCCGAAAUGAAGUGGCGGUCCUGCCGCGGCGCCCCCUGCGUAGUAUAACAGCUCGCUUCGGGACCCGGUGGAGGCCUGCCGUCAAACCUUACUCUCUAAGUUUGACCUCGGAUCAGGUAGGGUUACCCGCUGAACUUAAGCAUAUCAAUAAGCGGAGGA